UCAUGCACUCCUAAAAGCAAGGCACAAAGGGGGACACAGCAGUGUGACAAACACAUUUCCCUUGACGUAGUUAUAAUUAGAGGAAUGGAAUGCAUAUAGUGCCUGAUGAUCGACUAAACAGAUCUUCCACAAACACACUUUUGUGAACCAGUACCUUCUCAGAGACCGGCAGCAUCCUUAUCAUAUGAAGAGGGGAGUCAUUAAUGGACAAUAUAUACGGCUGAAUAAGUUGACAUUGACAAUCAAAUCUUCCUAGAAGAGAUGGCCAUUUUGAAGUUCUUUUUCCAGCAGAGAAGCUAUCAGUAUGAUAGGCUAAAUAAAAUUGAACUUGAAGUUCUGUUGCUCAGAAAUGGCCAUGCUAGACCUAUCUUGCACCACAUCUCUCCGGUUUCUUCUCUGGCUGUUUGUGACACACCUACUUUCCAACAGAACAAUGUGAUUUGUUACCGAGGAGCCUUCCCUCCUUCCUAUUAUUACUUACAUGCCCCAAAUCAGAGAAGUGCUUAGGGGCAAUUGGAAGAUUAUUUUGGGUAAUACUGAGUUGGCUAACAUUUUGCGCGAUCAUCCACUUUUCACUUAAAAUAUCAAGUUAAUUCUUGAACAUCCAACUGUUGAUCCUCCAUCUUCACUUACAACUCCUGGCACUUAUAAAGAUUGGAAGUGCAAGGAAUGCCACUACAUAAGCAACAGCAAUGCAUCUCAUGCAUUCAUUCCUUCUUUAGACCUAGAUGUAUGAGUGAAAAGGAGAUAUGACUGUGACUCUAGGUGUGUGGUCUGUUUGGUAACAUGUGCAUCAUGUCCAAGGUUUUACACUGGCAGGACCAUCAGAAGACUAUCAAAGAGAAUCUAUAAACUAACUCUCUCCUUCACAAAAAAAAUGAUACUAAUGCUUUAGCUAAGCACUCCUUGACAUGUUUAGACCUUAAAAAGUUUUCUUUUUUUUGUAUUAGACUCAGUUAACUAUGACAAUUUCUCUGGGAACUUUAAAGUCCUUUUAGAAUGCCUUGAAUAAUUUUGGCAGAUUUAAUGGAGAGACAAUAAAACACCUGGAUUCAA